rnacentral:rRNA from 1 species
UUGAACGCUGGCGGCAGGCCUCACACAUGCCAGUCGAACGGUAACAGGAAGAAGCUUGCUUCUUUGCUGACGAGUGGCGGACGGGUGAGUAAUGUCUGGGAAACUGCCUGAUGGAGGGGGAUAACUACUGGAAACGGUAGCUAAUACCGCAUAACGUCGCAAGACCAAAGAGGGGGACCUUCGGGCCUCUUGCCAUCGGAUGUGCCCAGAUGGGAUUAGCUAGUAGGUGGGGUAACGGCUCACCUAGGCGACGAUCCCUAGCUGGUCUGAGAGGAUGACCAGCCACACUGGAACUGAGACACGGUCCAGACUCCUACGGGAGGCAGCAGUGGGGAAUAUUGCACAAUGGGCGCAAGCCUGAUGCAGCCAUGCCGCGUGUAUGAAGAAGGCCUUCGGGUUGUAAAGUACUUUCAGCGGGGAGGAAGGGAGUAAAGUUAAUACCUUUGCUCAUUGACGUUACCCGCAGAAGAAGCACCGGCUAACUCCGUG